UAUCUCUCCGUACGGGGAAGGAUGAGAAGCUUCGAAUAAGGUUCGAUUCGAGCGAAAGCGAGAAAGCGUUGCCGCAGGCAACGACCCGAAGGGCGAAGC
rnacentral:sRNA from 1 species